UACGGAGGGAGCUAGCGUUGUUCGGAAUUACUGGGCGUAAAGCGCACGUAGGCGGAUUGUUAAGUCGGGGGUGAAAUCCUGGAGCUCAACUCCAGAACUGCCUUCGAUACUGGCGAUCUCGAGUUCGGGAGAGGUGAGUGGAACUGCGAGUGUAGAGGUGAAAUUCGUAGAUAUUCGCAAGAACACCAGUGGCGAAGGCGGCUCACUGGCCCGAUACUGACGCUGAGGUGCGAAAGCGUGGGGAGCAAACAGG
rnacentral:rRNA from 1 species